rnacentral:rRNA from 1 species
UACGAAGGGGGCUAGCGUUGCUCGGAAUCACUGGGCGUAAAGGGUGCGUAGGCGGGUCUUUAAGUCAGGGGUGAAAUCCUGGAGCUCAACUCCAGAACUGCCUUUGAUACUGAGGAUCUUGAGUCCGGGAGAGGUGAGUGGAACUGCGAGUGUAGAGGUGAAAUUCGUAGAUAUUCGCAAGAACACCAGUGGCGAAGGCGGCUCACUGGCCCGGUACUGACGCUGAGGUGCGAAAAGCGUGGGGAGCAAAGCAGG